rnacentral:rRNA from 1 species
UACGUAGGGUGCAAGCGUUGCUCGGAAUCACUGGGCGUAAAGCGCGUGUAGGCGGUUCGGUAAGUCUGAUGUGAAAUCCCCGGGCUCAACCUGGGAAUUGCAUUGGAGACUGCAAGGCUAGAAUCUGGCAGAGGGGGGUGAGAAUUCCACGUGUAGCAGUGAAAUGCGUAGAGAUGUGGAGGAACACCGAUGGCGAAGGCAGCCCCCUGGGUCAAGAUUGACGCUCAUGCACGAAAGCGUGGGAGCAAACAGG